rnacentral:rRNA from 1 species
UACGUAGGGGGCGAGCGUUGUCCGGAUUUAUUGGGCGUAAAGAGCGUGUAGGCGGCCUGGUAGGUCUGCUGUGAAAACUCGAGGCUCAACCUCGAGAUGUCGGCGGAAACCAUCUGGCUAGAGUCCGGAAGAGGAGAGUGGAAUUCCUGGUGUAGCGGUGGAAUGCGCAGAUAUCAGGAGGAACACCGGUGGCGAAGGCGGGUCUCUGGGCAGUAACUGACGCUGAGGAGCGAAAGCGUGGGGAGCGAACAGG